UCGGGACUUCAAAGCGCUUAUCGCGAAUCAUUUGAUUUGAUGAAAAUCACGCCCAUUUUUCAAGAAACGAAACUUUCGUUUCGAGAUGUAACGUUAGCUCUCUAGCUCUUUUGCUCAGCAGCUACUUUCAUUGUGUGCGGAGCAUAUGAAACAUGCUCUUAAUCUGUGACUGAGGGUCAAAUACACUAUGACAUUCCACGGUGACAUGUGUGCUGAUCUUUGAAAACGCACUCCUGCACUAGACUUUACCAGAGAAUGAAGUGUCCUCAGUGCAAUCAUGUGUCUUUGGAAAAGGCACCAAACUUCUGCAGUCGGUGUGGCUGUAAGCUGAUGUCUCAGUCAAAUGAGACGGCAGCAGAAAAGCCACAAGACGAGUCUCAAACAUCCUCAAACAUUCCACACAGUACCGAUGCAGAAAUGACUGAUAUUGGUCGUGAAUCAGAAGCUUUGAAUUACCAGAUUGCCGGUGUAUCUUCAAAACGACCAAAUGAAGAUAUAAACCCUAACCCAAAGAAAAAGAAAAGAAAGAAAAAGAAGAAAAAAGCAGGUGUUGCAGAGGGGCCUUUGUCUCUGACCUCUGAUCUCUCUGAUAUAUCGCUGAAUGAUAAAGAGAAGAAAAUGGAGAAAGACCAAUCUUUUGAGAGUGAUGGCUCCUACUGCUCUGUAGAUGAUAUGCCUAAACCAGCUGAAUCAUCCUCUCAUCUGAGCCCACCAGAGAAUGAAUCCACUAGGGCAACACAACUCAGCACAACUUUACCCCAUGCUGGUGUAGAUCAGUCUGUUGAGCAGUCAAAUAGUGGCAAGGAGAGUUGUGUAGCACCUGGAAUGUUAAAAUCAUCCAAGUUAAAUUUGACCCAAGAGCCAAUCAGCACCAGCUCUGCCAAUGAUUCUCCAGCAGUGUCAGUGGGAGCAGAUCAGACAGCUGAAAAAAACAAAAUUAAAUCUAAGAAUAAGGGUCAAAAGAGCAUGUCCACAAGAGCACAGACAACUCUAGAUCAGAGUGCUACUAUGGACCAGAAUGCAAACAUAAAAAGCAGCACAGGCAAUCAAAAGGAAACAGAUCAUCAGGGCAUGGAACCACUGAAGAAUUACAGUUCCAGUGGAGAUUCAAUGAUGAAGGUUGAGCACAGUGAGAAGCAGCAGUCUGCUCAUGCUAACCAGAUGAAUCCAGAAUCCAAAAAAGUAAAUGAAAGCGGCAAUACAGAAACCAAUAAGGACAACCAAAAAAAAAAUCAGAAUGAGGAACCACAGAAAUCAUCACAGGACAUGGUGUUUGGCCCACAGAGUAAUUUAAAGAAGAAUCACAGUUCCAGUGGAGAUUCAAAGUUAAAGGAUGAGCACAGUGAGAAGCAGCAGUCUGCUCAUGCUAACCACAUGAAUCCAGAAUCCAAAAAAGUCAAUGAAGGCGGCGAUACAGAAACCAAUAAGGACAACCCAAAAAAAAAUAAGAAUGAGGAACCACAGAAAUCAUCACAGGAUAUGGUGUUUGACCCACAGAGUAAAUUAAAGAAGAAUCAGGGUUCCAGCAGAGAUGCAGCAGUGAAGGCUGUGCACAAUAAGAAGCAGCACUCUUCACAUGAAAAGAAAGAUUCUGCUGCUGACCAGAAACACAAUAAAAAUGACAAUACAAAAAGUCAGUGUGACGUGCCACCAAAAAGGAAUCCAGCAUCAGCUCAACAUAUAAGUUCCAGUGACAGACUGACAAUUUACUUUCAUGCAGUCUUGUCAAAAGACUUCAAAUUUAACCUAGAAGAAGAUCUUAUCUUCAUAAGGGCCGGUGGUUGCCUUGGUGACUGGGAAAAUAAUUUGGUCAAGCUGUCUGUGUCACGGGAUCUCGGUGAGCAUGGAUUUCUUAUCGAGGGGAAAUUUGUAUGCAAGAAGACCAGUGCAGAAGCUGUGUCCAUACCAUACAAGUAUGUUGUAUAUAAAGCAAAAAAGCAGAAGUAUGAGUAUGAAUACAUCUACAAACUGGAUUCAAAUGAAACCACCAACAGAUGUUUAUUUGUCAAACCACGUCUCCUAAAUGAUGAAGGAGAAUGGCAUCAGUAUGACGAUAUCAUCUGUGUAGAACCUUCUAAGAAUAUGUUGAAACGGCUCAAAGAUGCUUUUUGGCCUGAUCAGAGGAAAGAUGUAAUUCAGGGGAGAGAAAUCGCUGGUAUAGUCAUGCUGGAAACAAUUUUUGACCUCCUGAGAAACUGGGGCAAAAUUAACCUCUACAGCUUCUUUAGUCAGCUGCGACAGUUUUAUGAAGUUUAUGGAAACCCUUUUGUAUUUGAAAAGACAGAAAUGAAGUGGUACUCACUCAAUUACGAUGAAAAAGAUGUGAGCAAGCUUCUGAAGCAGUUCAUGCUUCAGCAGGUGACUCCAGAGUUACAGAAAGACAGCAAAGAAAGGAGUACUUUCAUCAAGGAGCCACUGAAGGCUGCUCUUAUUAUGCUCUAUGUGUGGAAACAGUAUCAUCUAGAAUUAGACAACGGGAUUCUUUCUCGUCUCUGCACUGCCCUUUGCCUGCCGAAAUUACCUAAGGAUGAGUUCCUGUCUUUCUGGGCUGACAUAAUGGAAUCAUUCUCAGUGAUAAAAAACUUGUCUGAGAUGGUGGAGGCACUGAUCCUCAGAGUGAGAGCUGCCAACAUGAUUAGAUGGAUCAUCGUAAUUCCACUACUGCAUCUUUUCAAAGGCACCUCAAAACCAUUUGAGCCAGUGUUUAUUAAGGUCAACCUACAAUUUGAGCAGAACUGGGCUGGACUGCAGGGACUCAAAUCAGCUAAUAUAACUUCCCCCGGAAGCCAAGAUAGAAGGGCGAUGUUGAAUCUCAUGGAAACACAUGGACAUUUGGUGGAGGUGGACAAACUGCUGGCCAGAUCUUGGAUGUAUCUGAUGACUGUAGAUGAGUUGGUCAAGUGCAGCUCCAUCAUCCAUGCAGAACUCUUGGACAUCCUGCAGCUUUUCACCAUGAAAUGUCCCGAUGAUAUAUGCUACAGCACUUCCACCAGUGUAGCGGAUACUCUGGCAUACAUUCAAAGUAACUUGCUCGAACAACGAUACAGUUGUCCCAGUGAGGAUUAUGGCAUUCAGUGUGUACAAGCAACAUGUAAACUUCUAGAGAAGAUCUGCAAAAGAAUUCAUUACUACAGUCAUGCACAAAAUUUCACUGAUAUUCCUGUUGCUUGCAUGAACCUAGUGGCCUCCGUGUCAGGAUUUGCCCAGGCGAGACAACAAGCUGACACUUUUCCUGAGAAGACUCUUGUGUUACUCAAUGAGGCCAAGAAAUCUGUGAGGACAUGGAUCAGACAAACUUUCAAAGGCAGACUUUUAGACAGUAGCUAUAUGUCGGCUGUCAGCUUCACAAAAGAGAUUGAGGUAAACAGAACAAGUACAGUUGAGGUCAUAAGUUUAUAUAUGCAGUACUAAAUAAAAUA
rnacentral:lncRNA from 1 species